GAGAGAGACAUGCGCGCAUAUCAAUAAGCGGAGGAAAAGAAACUAACAAGGAUUCCCUUAGUAACGGCGAGUGAAGCGGGAAGAGCUCAAAUUUGAAAUCUUCGAGGUUUUACCUUGACGAAUUGUAGUUUAAAGAAGUGUUUUCUGCUGAAGUUUUGGUAAAAGUUCUUUGGAAUAGGACAUCAUAGAGGGUGAGAAUCCCGUAUUUGGACCAUUAUUUCCAGCUUUGUGAUACACUUUCAAAGAGUCGGAUUGUUUGGGAAUGCAGUCCAAAAUGGGUGGUAAAUUUCAUCUAAAGCUAAAUAUUGGCGAGAGACCGAUAGCGAACAAGGUACCGUGAGGGAAAGAUGAAAAGAACUUUGAAAAGAGAGUUAAACAGUACGUGAAAUUGUCAAAAGGGAAGCGUUUGACACCAGUGUUGUUUUCCUCGAAAAUCAAUUAAAAAUGGCUCGAUUUUGUAUUGCUUGAGACCUUAAAAGCUCACUGUACAUUUUUCGUGUCUUUUUUAAUGCACUUUUCGUUUAACAAGUCAACAUCAGUUUCUUUUGUUGUAAAAGGGUCAUUGGAAGGUGGCUUUCUUUUCGGAGAAAGUGUUUAUAGCCUUUGGCCUCUGCAAUCGAAGAGACUGAGGUCUGCAGCGUAGACUCUUCGGGGUUAGAUACAUUUGUGCUAAGUUAUAGCUUUUUAUAGACAACUUGUUGACUAUAAUUAGUCUUGCAGCUUACUCGCUUAUGCUAUUUUACCUACGCUUAGGAUGUUGAAGUCAUCGUAUCGCGC
rnacentral:rRNA from 1 species